rnacentral:lncRNA from 10 species
UAUAUUUUUUUUUUUUUUUUUUGAGAUAGAGUCUCACUCUGUUGCCCAGGCCGGAGUGCAGUGGCACCAAUCUUGGUGCACUGCAACUCCCGCCUCCUGGGUUCAAGCGAUUCUUCUGCCUCAGCCUCCCGAGUAGCUGGGACUACAAGUGUGCACCACCAUGCCCUGCUAAUUUUUGUAUUUUUAGUAUUUUAGUAGAGAUGGGGUUUCGCCAUGUUGGCCAGACUGGUCUUGAACUCCUGACCUCAGUUGAUCCACUGUGCCUGGCCUAAUUGUAUUUUUUGUAGAGACUGAGUCUCACCAUGUGGCCCAGUUGGUCUCACACUCCUGGGCUGAGUGAUCCUGCUGCCUCGGCCUCUCAGUGUGCUGGGUUACUGGUGUGAGCCACUGGGGCCUCCCCCAGUAGGCUUUCAAGGCAUUCCUGAGGGAAUGAAUCAGGUCCCUCCAUGUAUAAUGUCACGAGGGAAAUCCAGCCUGGCUUUUGUCAUGGCUAGAGAGAUGAACAUCCUGAUUGUUAGUCUUACCAGGAUUAGACACAGAUAGGGGGACUCUAAGAAUUUAAGGAUCUAUUACCAAAAGGUGGAAGAAUGGAUGCUGGGAGGCAAAAAAUAAAUACUAACUCUGUAGAUGUAGUCCUAAGAGUGCAGGCUCUGGAGUCAGGGGCUUCAAAUGCCAGGGCCACCACUUUCUGUGUGGAUCAGGCCAGUCACUUUAUAUCUUAGCAUGUCGAAUAUAUGGGGAUGGUCAUCAUAGCACUUCCUAGGGUCAUGUGAGGACUAAAUGAUGUGAACCGUGCAAAGUAGUAGAGUGUGGCACACAGCACCUUAAUAUAUGUUAACAAUUAUUAAUUGCCUCAUUCUGUCUUUAGUACAUCUCCUAAGGCUAGGUAUCAUCUCCAUUUUUGCAAUUUAAAGAAGCUUGCUCUUGGGGCAGGGGGUCCAAGUGGCUUUUUCAGUCACACAGCUGACUACUGGUGAAUCAGUACCUUUACCAUGCUAUGUUACCUACCAAUAAGUGCUCUAGUAUUUAUCCUUUUAGCUUAUAGAUAAGAAUCCUUUAAGAUAACUUCCAAUGUAUUAUAAUUUCCUCUAGAUAACAGUGCAAUUUAUACCAUAUGACCUAAUAGAGGUCUAACACAUUUUUAUCUUUAGACAUUUUCUAAGACAGUUUUUUUUUUUGAGAUAGAAUCUUGCUAUGUUGCCCAGGCUGGAGUGCAGUGGCACAAUUUUGGCUCAGUGCAACCUCCACCUCCUGGGUUCAAACGAUUCUCGUGCCUCAGCCUCCCGAGUAGCUGGGAUUACAGGCACCCGCCACCACACCCAGCUAAUUUUUUGUAGUUUUAGUGGAGAUGGGGUUUCACUGUGCUGGCCAGACUGGUCUCGAACUCCUGACCUCAGGUGAUCCACCUGCCUCAGCCUCCCAAACUGCUGGGAUUACAGGUGUGAGCCAACAUGCCUGGCCCUAAGACAAUUUAAAUACAGCAAACUUUCUGGUUUGGUCAAUGUGGUAAUGCAUGAAUCUAGAGAUACUGAAUCUUAUCUUUACUGCUGAUUUUAUGCUAUUUCCCAUAGAAUAGCAGAAAACAAGUAUCCCUUAGUCAAAAAUAAGAAAAUCCACAGGCUGUAUGAGAAUCUUAUAACAUGUUUAUCCAGGAAUGCUUAUAUGUUGGUUCCAAAGAGUCAUUGAACAAUUUCUCAUAAAAUCUUUGGAUAAGAGGGAGAGAUGAGGGUUGCGUAGGGAUUUAAUGAAGUGGGUGUCUAACCCUUCCAAAGCUGUUUUCAAAGGUUGCUCAUUGAUGGAUCUAUGCUGGUGUGAAAUCACAGUUUCUGCCCUCAUUUUACCUUAUGUGACAUUUUAAUAAAUUUCUGAUUUGAGGAUAUUGGUGGCAGGUUAAGAAAAUUUGCAAGUGACCUGCCACUGGAAGAAGUAGCUCUUGUAUGAGAAGACAAAGUUGGUACCAAAAGGGAUCCUGACAAAUUUGGACAAUGGGCUAAACCUAAUAAAAUGAAAUGUCACCUGUCUUUCUAAACCAAUGGUACAAAAUAAUGGAGAGAUAAAGUCUAGAAUUUUAGGUUUUACAAAAAAGGUUUUGUUGGACUAUAAGCUGACUAUAAAGAUAGCAGCCGAAAAAGGUAAAGGACUUAGGGCCACAUUACUAAGAAACGAACAGACUCUGUAAUUGCUAAUACACUGUUUAAAAUAAAGGUCGUGGUGGUGCUGCUUCAUUCUACUGAUAAGAAAGACCCUGAAUAAAGCCCUUCCUUCAGGAAACACUCUUCCUUUAUUUUACUUUCCACUCUAACGAGUAGUAAAUGCACAUUAUGGAAAAUUUAGAAGGCAUAGAAAAACAAACAGGAAAGUGCCACUAAAUGUAGUACUUUUAUCAUUUUGUUGUAUCUCCAUCUUUUUUUCUGCGAAAUGUUUAUAUAAUAUGUAUAUAAUUUUGUAUCAUGUCUUUAAAAAAAUCUUCCAUGUUUAUAAACAUUUUUUGUCUUUAAAGCAUCUUUUAAUGGCUGCAAAUACUCCAUCAUGUGGCUAUAUCGUUAUUUAUUCAGUUCUCUUCAAUUUUUGGAUGGUUUCCAAUUUUUUCUCUGUAAUCUGAAAUGCAGACAUUUGUGAAUAAAAUUAUGCUUCAUGGUGUAUACUAGCAAAUCAUUGCAAAUAGGGUAAAUCCCACUUCUUUUUCUUUUUCUUUUUUCUUUUUUUUUUUUGAGAUAGGGUCUCACUCUGUUAUCCAGACUGGAGUGCAGUGGCUCAAUCUGGGCUCACUGCAACCUCUACCUCCCGUGCUCAAGUGAUCCUCCCACUUCAGCCUCCUGGGUAGCUGGGACUAUAGGUGUGCAUCACCAAGACUGGCUGAUUUUUGUAUUUAUUUAUUUUUUUUUAGAGAUGGAGUUUUGCCAUGUUGCCCAAGCUGGUCUCGAACUCCUGGGCUCAAGCGAUCUGCCCACCUCAGCCUCCCAAAGUGCUGGGAUUAUAAGUGUGAGCCACUGUGCCCAGCCCCUGAGUCCCACUUUUUAGGAACAUUAAUAACGGACUUAGGCCCAGAGGGGAGAAACUAGCUUGUUGAAGGACCUGGAAACAAUAACAAAUAGGAAGUAAGGGUAUUUGAUUUAGGUUGGAGUAGGCAGUAGGGUUCAUUUUUGGAAGAGAGAGAACCUUAUGAAGGAAUGAGCUCAGGGUCACUAAAAGCAUCCACGAAGCUGAUCAGGUAAAUUGCAGCAUUCCUUCAUGCCCAGUCAUGCCCUGGCUUUGUGUGUUCUACAUGUAGUAAACUCUCUUUCUUUGGGAAAGAGGAGGUAAGUCUUCAACAUUUACCAACUAAAUGAGAGCAUCAGUAGUCUACCACCGUCAUCCCCAAAUACAUCACUGCUUGAAGAAUUUGCUUCCUGUGCCAGCAUCUUAUAUGUUAAUUAUCUCCAUUUGCCUUUCCU